AGAGUUUGAUCCUGGCUCAGAUUGAACGCUGGCGGCAUGCCUUACACAUGCAAGUCGAACGGCAGCACGGGAGUAAUCCUGGUGGCGAGUGGCGAACGGGUGAGUAACAUAUCGGAACGUGCCCAGUCGUGGGGGAUAACGCAGCGAAAGCUGUGCUAAUACCGCAUACGAUCUCUGGAUGAAAGCGGGGGAUUCUGCAAAGAGCCUCGCGCGAUUGGAGCGGCCGAUAUCAGAUUAGCUAGUUGGUGGGGUAAAAGCCCACCAAGGCGACGAUCUGUAGCUGGUCUGAGAGGACGACCAGCCACACUGGAACUGAGACACGGUCCAGACUCCUACGGGAGGCAGCAGUGGGGAAUUUUGGACAAUGGGCGAAAGCCUGAUCCAGCAAUGCCGCGUGCAGGAUGAAGGCCUUCGGGUUGUAAACUGCUUUUGUACGGAACGAAACGGUUCACUCUAAUACGGUGGGCUAAUGACGGUACCGUAAGAAUAAGCACCGGCUAACUACGUGCCAGCAGCCGCGGUAAUACGUAGGGUGCGAGCGUUAAUCGGAAUUACUGGGCGUAAAGCGUGCGCAGGCGGUGAUGUAAGACAGAUGUGAAAUCCCCGGGCUCAACCUGGGACCUGCAUUUGUGACUGCAUCGCUAGAGUACGGUAGAGGGGGAUGGAAUUCCGCGUGUAGCAGUGAAAUGCGUAGAUAUGCGGAGGAACACCGAUGGCGAAGGCAAUCCCCUGGACCUGUACUGACGCUCAUGCACGAAAGCGUGGGGAGCAAACAGGAUUAGAUACCCUGGUAGUCCACGCCCUAAACGAUGUCAACUGGUUGUUGGGUCUUCACUGACUCAGUAACGAAGCUAACGCGUGAAGUUGACCGCCUGGGGAGUACGGCCGCA
rnacentral:rRNA from 1 species